AAGCUCGUAGUUGAAUUUCGGGGUUAGUAGGUUGGUCAUGCCUCUGGUAUAUACUGGUCUCACUGAUCCCUCCUUCCUGAUGAACCGUAAUGCCAUUAAUUUGGUGUUGCGGGGAAUUUGGACUGUUACUUUGAAAAAAUUAGAGUGUUUAAAGCAAGCUAACGCUUGAAUACAUUAGCAUGGAAUAAUGAAAUAGGACGUUCGAUCCUAUUUUGUUGGUUUCUUAGGAUUGACGUAAUGAUUAAUAGGAUAGUUGGG
rnacentral:rRNA from 1 species